GACGAACGCUGGCGGCGUGCCUAAUACAUGCAAGUAGAACGCUGAAGAGAGGAGCUUGCUCUUCUUGGAUGAGUUGCGAACGGGUGAGUAACGCGUAGGUAACCUGCCUUGUAGCGGGGGAUAACUAUUGGAAACGAUAGCUAAUACCGCAUAACAAUGGAUGACACAUGUCAUUUAUUUGAAAGGGGCAAAUGCUCCACUACAAGAUGGACCUGCGUUGUAUUAGCUAGUAGGUGAGGUAACGGCUCACCUAGGCGACGAUACAUAGCCGACCUGAGAGGGUGAUCGGCCACACUGGGACUGAGACACGGCCCAGACUCCUACGGGAGGCAGCAGUAGGGAAUCUUCGGCAAUGGGGGCAACCCUGACCGAGCAACGCCGCGUGAGUGAAGAAGGUUUUCGGAUCGUAAAGCUCUGUUGUAAGUCAAGAACGAGUGUGAGAGUGGAAAGUUCACACUGUGACGGUAGCUUACCAGAAAGGGACGGCUAACUACGUGCCAGCAGCCGCGGUAAUACGUAGGUCCCGAGCGUUGUCCGGAUUUAUUGGGCGUAAAGCGAGCGCAGGCGGUUUGAUAAGUCUGAAGUUAAAGGCUGUGGCUCAACCAUAGUUCGCUUUGGAAACUGUCAAACUUGAGUGCAGAAGGGGAGAGUGGAAUUCCAUGUGUAGCGGUGAAAUGCGUAGAUAUAUGGAGGAACACCGGUGGCGAAAGCGGCUCUCUGGUCUGUAACUGACGCUGAGGCUCGAAAGCGUGGGGAGCGAACAGGAUUAGAUACCCUGGUAGUCCACGCCGUAAACGAUGAGUGCUAGGUGUUGGAUCCUUUCCGGGAUUCAGUGCCGCAGCUAACACAUUAAGCACUCCGCCUGGGGAGUACGACCGCAAGGUUGAAACUCAAAGGAAUUGACGGGGGCCCGCACAAGCGGUGGAGCAUGUGGUUUAAUUCGAAGCAACGCGAAGAACCUUACCAGGUCUUGACAUCCCGAUGCUAUUUCUAGAGAUAGAAAGUUACUUCGGUACAUCGGUGACAGGUGGUGCAUGGUUGUCGUCAGCUCGUGUCGUGAGAUGUUGGGUUAAGUCCCGCAACGAGCGCAACCCCUAUUGUUAGUUGCCAUCAUUCAGUUGGGCACUCUAGCGAGACUGCCGGUAAUAAACCGGAGGAAGGUGGGGAUGACGUCAAAUCAUCAUGCCCCUUAUGACCUGGGCUACACACGUGCUACAAUGGUUGGUACAACGAGUUGCGAGUCGGUGACGGCAAGCUAAUCUCUUAAAGCCAAUCUCAGUUCGGAUUGUAGGCUGCAACUCGCCUACAUGAAGUCGGAAUCGCUAGUAAUCGCGGAUCAGCACGCCGCGGUGAAUACGUUCCCGGGCCUUGUACACACCGCCCGUCACACCACGAGAGUUUGUAACACCCGAAGUCAAGGAGGUAACCUUUUGGAGCCAGCCGCCUAA
rnacentral:rRNA from 1 species